UUAAAACUAAAUCUGUGGACCCCAAACCCAGCACAGAGUCCGCGGAUUUCGACCUCACUGUCGCUCAGGCAGUUCGGACAACUUCGGAAAGGUAACAAUUAUUUAAAUGUGCUUCCUUCGCUGUUCUGGAGGCGUAUACAUAAACUGUCCCAAUCCUAAACGUCCGAAACUAUGAACAGAACAAGAAUCAUAGCUGCGGAGACCAUGUGGAAGUCCCUCUCCCAAGUCAGCUGCCAAAGGUCACACAGCAGGAAAGGAACCAUCCAGAAGAGUGGCGAGAAACACAUAGAAGGCGAGCCAGUGACCAUCUAAAUUAAGAAUGAGUGGAACGACCUUCCUUCCCAGGAAUAGGAAAAUGGAAAAUGCUACUCAUUCAACAAACCAAUUUGUCAAUCUGAACGAAGCGCCUCCGUGUCAAUUCCCGACUGGUCUCUCCAAUAAUUUUUUUAAACUCACCGGGACAGACGGAGGAAAAAAAAAACAACUAAAAUCCAAUGGUGUAAUUAGUGGUUUGGAGGCUUGGAAUAAAAACAACAUGUAAUGACCAAACCCUUAACAAGAGGGUCACCAGCACGGUCAUAUAACUCUGUGGAGUUAUCAAAGUAACAUAUUUCAAUUCAGCAUCUGCGUCAACUGUUUUUUUCUCCAUGUCGGCGUCUAGUUGCAAGUCAUUUUAUCUCUAUUAUUGUUUUAAAAUUCAUGUCAUCUUCAGUCUAAUGAGUCCUAUCACUUUAACCUUUCUAUAAUAGUUUUUUAAUGUUUAAUGUGCUUUAAAAUGGACAAAGUUAUAUUAAAAAAAAUAAACCGCUU